rnacentral:rRNA from 1 species
GGGUUGUGAGGUUAAGCGACUAAGCGUACACGGUGGAUGCCCUGGCAGUCAGAGGCGAUGAAGGACGUGCUAAUCUGCGAUAAGCGUCGGUAAGGUGAUAUGAACCGUUAUAACCGGCGAUUUCCGAAUGGGGAAACCCAGUGUGAUUCGUCACACUAUCAUUAACUGAAUCCAUAGGUUAAUGAGGCGAACCGGGGGAACUGAAACAUCUAAGUACCCCGAGGAAAAGAAAUCAACCGAGAUUCCCCCAGUAGCGGCGAGCGAACGGGGAGCAGCCCAGAGCCUGAAUCAGUGUGUGUGUUAGUGGAAGCGUCUGGAAAGGCGCGCGAUACAGGGUGACAGCCCCGUACACAAAAAUGCACAUACUGUGAGCUCGAUGAGUAGGGCGGGACACGUGGUAUCCUGUCUGAAUAUGGGGGGACCAUCCUCCAAGGCUAAAUACUCCUGACUGACCGAUAGUGAACCAGUACCGUGAGGGAAAGGCGAAAAGAACCCCGGCGAGGGGAGUGAAAAAGAACCUGAAACCGUGUACGUACAAGCAGUGGGAGCACAGAGCAAUCUGUGUGACUGCGUACCUUUUGUAUAAUGGGUCAGCGACUUAUAUUCUGUAGCAAGGUUAACCGAAUAGGGGAGCCGAAGGGAAACCGAGUCUUAACUGGGCGUUAAGUUGCAGGGUAUAGACCCGAAACCCGGUGAUCUAGCCAUGGGCAGGUUGAAGGUUGGGUAACACUAACUGGAGGACCGAACCGACUAAUGUUGAAAAAUUAGCGGAUGACUUGUGGCUGGGGGUGAAAGGCCAAUCAAACCGGGAGAUAGCUGGUUCUCCCCGAAAGCUAUUUAGGUAGCGCCUCGUGAAUUCAUCUCCGGGGGUAGAGCACUGUUUCGGCAAGGGGGUCAUCCCGACUUACCAACCCGAUGCAAACUGCGAAUACCGGAGAAUGUUAUCACGGGAGACACACGGCGGGUGCUAACGUCCGUCGUGAAGAGGGAAACAACCCAGACCGCCAGCUAAGGUCCCAAAGUCAUGGUUAAGUGGGAAACGAUGUGGGAAGGCCCAGACAGCCAGGAUGUUGGCUUAGAAGCAGCCAUCAUUUAAAGAAAGCGUAAUAGCUCACUGGUCGAGUCGGCCUGCGCGGAAGAUGUAACGGGGCUAAACCAUGCACCGAAGCUGCGGCAGCGACGCUUAUGCGUUGUUGGGUAGGGGAGCGUUCUGUAAGCCUGCGAAGGUGUGCUGUGAGGCAUGCUGGAGGUAUCAGAAGUGCGAAUGCUGACAUAAGUAACGAUAAAGCGGGUGAAAAGCCCGCUCGCCGGAAGACCAAGGGUUCCUGUCCAACGUUAAUCGGGGCAGGGUGAGUCGACCCCUAAGGCGAGGCCGAAAGGCGUAGUCGAUGGGAAACAGGUUAAUAUUCCUGUACUUGGUGUUACUGCGAAGGGGGGACGGAGAAGGCUAUGUUGGCCGGGCGACGGUUGUCCCGGUUUAAGCGUGUAGGCUGGUUUUCCAGGCAAAUCCGGAAAAUCAAGGCUGAGGCGUGAUGACGAGGCACUACGGUGCUGAAGCAACAAAUGCCCUGCUUCCAGGAAAAGCCUCUAAGCAUCAGGUAACAUCAAAUCGUACCCCAAACCGACACAGGUGGUCAGGUAGAGAAUACCAAGGCGCUUGAGAGAACUCGGGUGAAGGAACUAGGCAAAAUGGUGCCGUAACUUCGGGAGAAGGCACGCUGAUAUGUAGGUGAAGUCCCUCGCGGAUGGAGCUGAAAUCAGUCGAAGAUACCAGCUGGCUGCAACUGUUUAUUAAAAACACAGCACUGUGCAAACACGAAAGUGGACGUAUACGGUGUGACGCCUGCCCGGUGCCGGAAGGUUAAUUGAUGGGGUUAGCGCAAGCGAAGCUCUUGAUCGAAGCCCCGGUAAACGGCGGCCGUAACUAUAACGGUCCUAAGGUAGCGAAAUUCCUUGUCGGGUAAGUUCCGACCUGCACGAAUGGCGUAAUGAUGGCCAGGCUGUCUCCACCCGAGACUCAGUGAAAUUGAACUCGCUGUGAAGAUGCAGUGUACCCGCGGCAAGACGGAAAGACCCCGUGAACCUUUACUAUAGCUUGACACUGAACAUUGAGCCUUGAUGUGUAGGAUAGGUGGGAGGCUUUGAAGUGUGGACGCCAGUCUGCAUGGAGCCGACCUUGAAAUACCACCCUUUAAUGUUUGAUGUUCUAACGUUGACCCGUAAUCCGGGUUGCGGACAGUGUCUGGUGGGUAGUUUGACUGGGGCGGUCUCCUCCUAAAGAGUAACGGAGGAGCACGAAGGUUGGCUAAUCCUGGUCGGACAUCAGGAGGUUAGUGCAAUGGCAUAAGCCAGCUUGACUGCGAGCGUGACGGCGCGAGCAGGUGCGAAAGCAGGUCAUAGUGAUCCGGUGGUUCUGAAUGGAAGGGCCAUCGCUCAACGGAUAAAAGGUACUCCGGGGAUAACAGGCUGAUACCGCCCAAGAGUUCAUAUCGACGGCGGUGUUUGGCACCUCGAUGUCGGCUCAUCACAUCCUGGGGCUGAAGUAGGUCCCAAGGGUAUGGCUGUUCGCCAUUUAAAGUGGUACGCGAGCUGGGUUUAGAACGUCGUGAGACAGUUCGGUCCCUAUCUGCCGUGGGCGCUGGAGAACUGAGGGGGGCUGCUCCUAGUACGAGAGGACCGGAGUGGACGCAUCACUGGUGUUCGGGUUGUCAUGCCAAUGGCACUGCCCGGUAGCUAAAUGCGGAAGAGAUAAGUGCUGAAAGCAUCUAAGCACGAAACUUGCCCCGAGAUGAGUUCUCCCUGACUCCUUGAGAGUCCUGAAGGAACGUUGAAGACGACGACGUUGAUAGGCCGGAUGUGUAAGCGCAGCGAUGCGUUGAGCUAACCGGUACUAAUGAACCGUGAGGCUUAACCUUACAACGCCGAAG